CACUAUCGGUUUUUGCUGGAGGGAAGAAAGCGAGAAAAUGUGUCCUGCGCUGACUCACACAGAGAACUGACUGUACCAUACUUUCCCUCCUGAUCAUGGAUAUUCUCCUCCACGAAUAAACAGGGAAGGAGACAAAGCGGAAAGAAGACUUCUAAGUAAUUCCAGUAAGCUGUGCCUCCAGCCAGAGCCUAGCCCAGAGCCAGCAUACUUCAAAGGCAACACGAUGGACUGUCAGCUGCAGCGUGUCUCUUGGUCCAAGGUGGGGCAAAGAUGGAGGCCAAAAGGAUCUAAGGGUCACAGGCAAGGAGAAGUCCUCAGGGCUCCUGAAUGGAAGCUGGGAGGCUGCGUUUUGGAUGUGGCUGGUGACACUUGGGCAGGUAAUGCUUACUCGACACUAGUUCUGUAUGUGCAGAGUCUGUGAUCAAAGGGUGGAGGACGGG
rnacentral:lncRNA from 1 species